GACGAACGCUGGCGGCGGGCUUAACACAUGCAAGUCGAACGAAGUGGCGAACGGGUGAGUAACGCGUAAUCAACCUGCCCUUCAGAGGGGGACAACAGUUGGAAAGGAAUGCUAAUACCGCAUACGGAAGGAGGGGAAGGUGUCUGAUUGGCUAGUUGGGGGGGUAAGGGCCCACCAGGGUGAUGAUCAGUAGCCGGUCUGGGAGGAUGAACGGCCACAAUGGGACUGAGCCACGGCCCCUGCUCCUACGGGAGGCAGCAGUGGGGAAUCUUCCGCAAUGGACGAAAGUCUGGCGGAGCAACGCCGCGUGAGUGAUGACGGCCUUCGGGUUGUAAAGCUCUGUUAAUCGGGACGCGGUACCGGAAUAGAAAGCCACGGCUAACUACGUGCCAGCAGCCGCGGUAAUAC
rnacentral:rRNA from 1 species